UCUGUUUCAUUCCACUAUGAACACUUGUAUUUUGACAAAAGAAGAGAUAAAGUGAGUUACUUUAUCAUCAUGGUUUCAUUUGGUGUAUAACACAUGAACAGAGGUAAACCUAGCUAGCUUUUCGUGUACUCUAUUUUGGAUGAUGAGUAUGUCAGUAACUUUAAUUGUACGGCUAGUAAAGUAUGAACAUGAAUGCUUUGUUCAGAUUUUCAGAUGUGUGCUGGCAGUUCAAGUCUGGCAGCUGGAGUGAACAGUCGUGUUUUCUGGAGCUCCAACAAUAUGCUAGAAGGUAAGUAACUAUGUUUGUUUUGCAUUGCAUGUUUUUAUAUGUUUCAGACUUUCAAGCAGAGAUGUCAUGCUGACUGGAGUUGAGCACAGGGCAGUGACAAAGUGAAAGGUAAGUACUUUUGACUGAAUGUUUGUUCUAUGCAUGUUUUGUUUUAAUACAUUUCAGGAGUGCUUAUCCAGUGAUGAUAUGACAGUUGGAGUGAACAGUGGAGCCAAGCAGUCUUGUUUUUGGAGCUACUCAACAAGCCUUGAAGGUGUACUUGCUGACAGCGACGAAGACGAAUCAAGAAGAGGAACAUUGUUCAGAAAGUGAUUGGGACUUGCAAACAGGGUAAGUGUAACACUUGUGUUUGUUUAAUUUGUAACAUGCGUGCUUUGCUCUGUUUCAGAUUUCACAUGCAGAAAUUAAACAGGAUUUCAACUGCUGAGACACAAUUCAUUAAAAGUAAGGUAAGUUUUAAUUCAUUGAUUUGAGUUGUACAAUGUGUUCUUUACUUUAUUUCAGAUUCGAGUCACUGGUUUACACAUGGAAGAAGAUUUCCACGUCGGUUACUCAACUCUACAGAAGCAAGUGGAUGUCCAGAUGGCAAGCAGAACAGACGUGUUUCUUGGAGCUGCCAAACAGUGAGUACAAACGUUUUAUAUUUUUCAGUUGUUUACUCAUAGAAGUCUGUGAAAGAUGAUAACAAGGGUUGAAUUGCACAGUACUUGUGUCUAAAAAUGCUGAUGUGUGACGGUUUACUGAAAAGGGUAAAUGCUAGCCAGUACUAACACUUGAGCAACCGUGGGAUGUCGAACUAACUGAUGAUGUACUAUGAUGGUGAACACUUACUUUGUGUAUCGAAAUGCUUUUGUUGAUAUUUACUAAAUAUUGAUUGACAUUUGUUUGCAUGCUGUUAACAUUUCUAUUUCAUUUCAGUUGGCUGUGGUGAGUAUUGUAAUAUACAUUUGUUUCAAUAAAUCAUGAUGAAUGAACACUGAUUUCGAUUCUUUUUUACAGUUUUAGGGAUUAUCACUCUAUAACAACUCUGUCGGUUGGUGUUCGUGAAUGUGAGCUUAAUGUUUGAGUAGUACAAAAAUGUCUUUACUUUUGUGAUCGCCAGUUGUCUGUGAUGUAAAGUGGAAAAAACACAGCUAUGAAGCAUACAAUUGUUUCAAUAUUUUAUCAAUGAUAGUGUGCUAUGCAUGUUUUGAUUUAGUUCGUUUCAGAUACGACAUGACAUGAAGAGUUGACAGUCGAACAGAGCUGAGCAAAGCAGAAAGGUAAGUGUGUUUCAUUUUAGUAUGGACACUUGUAUUUUGUUUUUAUAUGGUAUGUUUUGUGCAUGCUAUGUUUCAGGUGUACUUGUAGUCAGCGACGAAGACGAUUCAAGAAGAGGAACAUUGCUGAGAAAGUGAAUGGGACUUGCAAACAGGGUAAGUGUUACAAUUGUUUGUUUGAUUUUUACCAUGCAUACUUUGCUUUGCUCUGUUUCAGAUUUCACAUGCAGAAAUGGUCUCAUAGCAGUGCCAACAGUGAAUAAGGAUUUCAGCUGCUGUGAAACAACUCAACAGAAAGUAGGUAAGCAUUGAAUGAAUGCACUUGAGUUGUACAAUUUGAUGUGAUGCUUUUCUCUGUUUCAGAUUCAAGUUCCUGGUGUAGACAGAGAAAUGUGUUUGAAGAAGGAAUUCUACUACUGUGAUUCAACUCUACAGAAGCAAGGUAAGUAGAAACAAAAUUUUGGUUUAAUUUAACUCAUGUGUUUUGCACUGCAUGCUAUUUUUCAGGUCUCUCAUGCAGUGAUGGAAAAGAAGAAGAUUUCAAGAAAGAAUCACUGCUGCAACUCAGGCCUAUAACAAGGUAAGUGUUUACUAUAUUGUAUACAAAAUGUUUCUCUGUUUUACUCUGUUUCAGGUUUCAAUUGCAGAGAUGUUGCAGAGAUGUUUUGACAGCUUGUGGCAGAAAAGAAAUUCAGCAUCUGUUUCUCGACUCUAGCCACGAGGUAAGUCAAAACAAAUAUACUGGUUUGUAUGUAAUGUUGUUAUGCCCUUCUAUGUUUCAGACUUACAUUGCUGUGACUGUUCCACAGUGGGUCAAAAAAGAGACGAAUACAGGUUUCAAGAAGAAAAUUGGCUGUUAAAAACCUGCACAAAAUAUGAGGUAAGUAAACUACUCUUUUGGUUUGUUUUGUGCUUUGUUAUGCUUAACUAUUUUUCAGAUUGGAAUGGUGGGUCGUUACAGAGCAGACUUUUGGACUACUGAGAAGUUGAGAAACAGAGAAUGAUUCAAGAUCAGCUAGGUAAGUCUUGAUUAUUAUGCAUUGCUAAAUGUUUUUUUCAUUCCAGUAUGGCUGUGGUAAGUACACAAACUUUCUAUAAUUUAAUAUUGAACUGUUUUUAUGACCUGUAUUCUGCAUUGUAAAAUGUCUGUUUUUCAUUUCAGUAUCCUGUGGUAAGUACACUAACUUUGUAUAAUUUCAUAUUGAAAUGUUUUGAUGACUUGUAUCCUGCUAUGCAAUGCUUAAUAUAUUUUUCAUUUCAGUGUGGCUGUGGUAAGUACACUAACUUUCUUUUCUUUUUCAUAUUGAACUGUUUUGGUGACUUGUAUUCUGCUAUACAAAAUGUGUUUUUUUCAUUUCAGUUGCCUGUGGUAAGUACAAUUGCCUUCUUUAAUUUUCAUAUUGAACUGUUUUGAUGACUUGUAUACUGCAUUGUAAAAUGUGUUUCUUUUUCAUUUCAGUAUGGCUGUGGUAAGUACAAUUGCCUUCUUUAAUUUUCAUAUUGAACUGUUUUGAUGACUUUUAUUCUGCCAUACAAAAUGUGUUUUUUUUCAUUUCAGUUGCCUGUUGGUAAGUACAAUUUGCUUUCUUUAAUUGCAUAUUGAAAUAUGUUUUAUGACUUUUAUUCUGCUAUGCUUUUUUCAUUUCAGUUUGGCAGAUGUAAGUACACUUCAUUUAUGUAAAAACUGAAUAUGAUUGUUGUGCUAUACAAAAUGUGCUUUUUUCAAUUUCAGGUCAGCAAUGGUAAGUAGAUUGUGUUUCUUUAUGUAUAAUUUUGUAUACAUAUUGUUUUUUUCAUCAUAGCAUGUCUUUUAUAUUUAUGCUUUGUGUAAGUAAAAUGUUCAUAAAUCAUUCUUAUCUUCAAACUAAAAAUGUAUUGUGCUAUGCAAAAUGUCUGUAUGAUUUCAGUUGCCAGAGGUGAGUACCAUUAC